rnacentral:rRNA from 1 species
AUGGGAAAUGGCGUGCUGCGGUGGCUCUGCGUCGUCCCCGGACGGACGCGGCGGCGGCGGCACGCGGCGAGGCUGGUGCUGUGGGGCGGGGAGACGCGGGCGGCCGAGCCCGGGAGCGCGGCCGGGGAGGUCAUGGUGGAGCACGGCGCCGGUGGGCGUGUGGUCUGCCGGGCAGACGGGUUCCGCAUCGGCCGCCCCGCGCCUGUGCUCGCCGUCGAGGACCGGCUCGAGGCCGGCCGCACGUACCUCGUCGUCCCCGUGGACCGGCUCCCUGCUCAGGGCCAGGGCGCGGUCACCGCGGCGUCGCUCGCGGCGCUCUCCUACGACAGCCACAACGGCCGCGCUGGCGGCGCCCCGUCGUCGGCGCCGUCGUUGGCCGGGGGCGGGAGGAGCCCGUUCGAGUACGUCAAGGAUGGCGACGGCCGGACGGUGAUCAGCGUCACGGAGGAGUUCAUCGUGAAGACGGUCACACGGAGGCGGCCGCCCGCUGGCGCCUCUGGUGGUCGUGGUGAUGAGGAGGAGAACGGGUCGCCGAUCUGCAGCACGCCGGAGCUGAGGAAGCACUACGAGCUGCUGGUGGGGGCGGCGAGGGGGAGGCCGUGGUCGCCGCGGCUGGAGACGAUCGAGGAGCGGAAGGCGCGGAGGGGGAUGGACGUCGUGAUCAGCCCCCGGCGGCUGUCGCCGGCGAAGCUGCUGGGGUUGGUCAAAGGAUCCAAUGAGCUAGCGAGGUAG